AGCGAACGCUGGCGGCAGGCCUAACACAUGCAAGUCGAACGAACUCUUCGGAGUUAGUGGCGGACGGGUGAGUAACACGUGGGAACGUGCCUUUUGGUUCGGAAUAACUCAGGGAAACUUGUGCUGAUACCGAAUGUGCCCUUCGGGGGAAAGAUUUAUCGCCAUUAGAGCGGCCCGCGUCUGAUUAGCUAGUUGGUGAGGUAACGGCUCACCAAGGCGACGAUCAGUAGCUGGUCUGAGAGGAUGACCAGCCACACUGGGACUGAGACACGGCCCAGACUCCUACGGGAGGCAGCAGUGGGGAAUCUUGCGCAAUGGGCGAAAGCCUGACGCAGCCAUGCCGCGUGAAUGAUGAAGGUCUUAGGAUUGUAAAAUUCUUUCACCGGGGACGAUAAUGACGGUACCCGGAGAAGAAGCCCCGGCUAACUUCGUG
rnacentral:rRNA from 1 species